rnacentral:rRNA from 1 species
CGUGAGAUGUUGGGUUAAGUCCCGCAACGAGCGCAACCCUUGCCAUUAGUUGCUACGAAAGGGCACUCUAAUGGGACUGCCGGUGACAAACCGGAGGAAGGUGGGGAUGACGUCAGGUCAUCAUGGCCCUUAUGGGUAGGGCUACACACGUCAUACAAUGGCCGGUACAGAGGGCUGCCAACCCGCGAGGGGAGCCAAUCCCAGAAAACCGGUCGUAGUCCGGAUCGUAGUCUGCAACUCGACUGCG